GUCACUUAUAAGUUCUCUCAACUUAUCAAAUUCCUCUCUCAGGUAAGUCCGCAAUUCUUUCUUUCUUAACGACGAAUUGCAGUAUACUGCCCGGAAAAGAAACUGCCUCUUCUUUUUCUUAGUUUGGGCUAAACAAUCAUGAAACAAUCACUCUCUGUGAUCGGGUGCUUAAAGCUACAUCAAGGAUUACAUUUAUCAAAAGAACAAAGUCCACAUGAGCAUAAAACAACGCUUUGGCAUCCAGUAAUUUUAAAACUCUCUAUGUUCCCUGCCUUUCCGUAACGUUUCCACCUCCUCAAUCGCUCCUCUAUCUCUCUGUAUUCUUCCUUCACUGCACUUCUUGAGGCGAUGAAAUGGAAUAGAAGAAGACUAAACCAAGAUACUAUGGUCGUUUCUAAGACUAGACAAGGGCGAGGCUAUGAACUGGAAUAGAAGCAGACUAAGUUUCAUGAUCGACAAUGCCUGUUAUUUAGACACCUCCCACGUUAUGAUUGAUGGUGGAAGCGAACAUGGAAUUCUCUGGAAACAGUUCAAAUACUUAUACAUCCGAACCUUCAAAUCACAGAAGUUUUUGAUAGAUUAUGUAAAUAUUUUGUAAUCUCUUAUUUAGGUUAGAAUAUUUUGUAAUAUUUUAUACUCUCCUAUUUUGAGUAGGAUAUUUUUGUAUAUUAACCAAUUUAAGGAAUGAAAGGAAACUACGGAAAAUAUUCUUUCAUGGUAUCAGAAGUCUAGGGUUUUCUUUUUUUUCCUCUCCUCUCUCUUCUCCGUUGCCCUAGCUCCGUCGGUUGCCACCUCUUUUUUUUUUUUUCCGCCACCAAGUCAACCUCUAAAUCAUCCUUCCAUCCCGCUUUCGCCGUCUCCAACAUCCGUAAUCACAUUCCUGCGAUUCUUGAAAUGGAGAAUGCACAAUAUGGCACACGGGCGGAAUUGUUUAGGAUCCACGCGAUAUCCCAUAGGGUCAUACACCAUAUCAUCGCACCAAAAAAAGGGACGCAGGUAGCCCCUCCCUCCGAUGACGACAAAGAACUUUGGUCGACCCUUGAUGCG